GGCUCUGUGUCCUGGGCUUUUGCAUGGACCCCGAGGAAAACAGUGGAUGAAAUAUAAUGGUUGGGACCCCUAACCACAACUGCCGAAGAAAGGCUAGCUGUGGGAAGCCCGACCCCAAACAAAAGAAUCAGGAGGGCCUUCAGCUACCAGGAGAGAAGUGAAGUUAUUCACCUGGCUGUUAAGGCUGACAGGACAUUGUAGCUGGCUCCAUCCCUGAGGCUACGUGGACGCCCUUCCUGGGAGCACAUACCCGGUGUCCUCCGGGGAGCAGUGGAGCCAACUUGAGGACUCACUGAUCAUGACUUCUAUCAAGGAGCAGGCAGCAAUUAGCCGGCUCUUGAGUUUUUUACAGGAUUGGGACAAUGCUGGCAAAGUCGCAAGGAGUCACAUCCUCAACAAUUUCAUUGAAACCAACCAAGGCAAGACUGCCCCUGAGCUGGAACAGGAGUUUUCCCAGGGAGCCAGCUUGUUCCUGGUCCGCUUGACCACCUGGCUUAGACUCACCUACAUGACUGGCUCACGUUUAGAUAAGCUGCUCAGGUCCAUUGGCAUCUUCUUAUCAGCUGUAAGCAGGUGAGUUCUGUUCUAGCGAAAUUCUGGGGUCUCAGUUGCCUACCUGACUCAUGGUAUCCUUGACAUUCACACCACAUGGGACCUUAGCUUCUAGUUAUCAGUGGGUACCUAAGCCCUCAGGUUGGACCCAGAGGUGGUGGCAGCUGUGGUCCUGGUCUAGUUGCUCCUCCAUCCCAUGUUCUCCAUUGAUACUUUGCUAGUCAGCACCCUCUUGGUUGUGAAUUACAGAAAACCGACUCAUACUGGACCAGGAAAAAGUAGAAAUUAUUAGACUACUUAACUGAAAUGUCCAGAGAGUGGAAAUCCAUAUUUCAGGCCUGACUAUAUCCAGGGGCUCAAAAAAUGUCAUCAGUACUUGUUCUCUCCCACUUUUUCUCCAUUUCUCAGUGCUUGGUCUCUCCCGCUUUUCCACCAUUUCUCAGUAUUUGGUCUGUCCCGCUUUUCUCCAUUUCUCAGUAUUUGGUCUGUCCCGCUUUUUCUCCAUUUCUCAGCUCUGUUUUCCUCUACUUUCAUAGGCCUCCAUGUGUUGUAGUCCUCAGUACUCCAGACAUGCACCCUUCUAGCUCAGUCACACCAAAAAGAGAACAUGUAUUUCCCAAGCGUUCCCAAGAAAGUCCCAGGUUUUGAGCCUCAUUGGACCAACUUAGGUCACAUGCCUGGCCCCAAACCAAUUACUGCAGCCAGAAGGAUGACACACCUUCACCUGCUUACCCUCCCAAAACCACAUGGCUCGUGAGUGGUGGAAGGGUGAUCUCCCAUGGGACAGUUGAGGUGCCCUUCAAGAAGAAGAGACACAGAUGCUGGAAAUCCAAGCACAGGAAAUGGCCAUUGUAUUUAACUUCCGCAUUUCCUUCUGGAAGGAAGCAUUUCCAAACUAUUGUGUCACUUUACCCACAAACAUUUCCUGGGUAGGAGUAUAUGAAGAAAGGUCCUUGAGAUCCCUUAGAAAGGUUAGUGUCAAGGAACUUGACAAUGUCUUAUUUCUACUUUUCUAUCCCUCUGGACAGUAAUCGAUAUCUCAUAGAAUUUCUUGAGGUUGGUGGGGCCCUAACACUCUUGGAAAUACUUGCACUGAAGGAGAUCGAGGAGGAGGACAAGAAGGAAUCCAUCAAGCUACUUCAGGUUAUCUCAAACUCUGGCAGAAAGUACAAGGAGCUCAUCUGUGAAAGCUAUGUCGAUCAUCGGGACAACACACCCCAGCAUUGUGGACUGCGUGCUGAAGGUGCUGCGCACUGUGCACCCGGAAGUCCAGUAUGAAGGUAGGGGAGGCGGCCGGGUCUGCUCCAGACGGCACAAGGUGGCCAUGAGAACUAGGCAGCUUUGCUCUGAGACGUUUUCUCCCGUUCACAAAGAGCCUUAGUGAGUGAGUGUCCUAGGCAGCCUCGGCAGACGGAAGGUGCUGGCUCUGUGCUGAUGGGCAAGUUAUUCAGAAAACGACAGUCACAUUCUGGGCCUGGAAUCAGCCACAUGCUCUAGCAGUUGUCAGAAUGUGCCUGGGUGCAGAGCUGGCUCUCGUUCCCAGACUUAUGUGGCAUUUCCCCUCCAAACAGAAAUCACCCUGAGGACUGUUCUUCUAAGAAACCAGAUUGGGUAAUGAUAGUAUUAAUACGUUUUCAUUUAUUGAGUAUGCCUAUGUGCCAGCCACUUGCCAUGCAUUGCUCCAUUUAAUUCUCAAAAUAACCACAAGAGUACAGAUUCUGGUACAUAUUAGGUAUUCAGAUGUUCAAAUGAAUGAAUGGUGGGGGUUGGCAUUUUUAUGUUUUUCAAGCUACAGCCCUGAAGCACGGAGAGAUUAAGUAUGCUUCCCAAAGUUACACAGCUGACCGGACUCAAACCAGAUCUGUCUGACUCCAAAGCGUGUGCUUUUAACAUGCAGCACAUGGCAGGUGUUUCCAGGAUGUUAUUUCCUUCCCUGCUCUUCCGAUGGUUCAGAGAAGGGAGAUUCUGUUUUCAACAGGAGAGAUCAAGGAAGGGUUCUCUGGGAAGGUGGUAUUCGAGCUGAGCCUUGAAAAAUGGGAAGGUAGAAAGCAGAGAAGGGCAUUCUGGAAAGGGGAAUGGUGUAAAGGAAGGCCCAGACACAGGGAAGUACAAGAUGUGUCUGGGGAGUGGCAUGGAGAUCAUUUGGUGGAGGUUUGGUAGCGGUCUCGGUCUAGGAAGACCUAGGAGGGUAGGCCAGGACCAGAUCAUAGAGCACCUUGAACAUCAGAUGGAAUAGCAGGCCAGAGCCACAGGGAGACUUUAGACUGGAGUUGUUCAGACAACAAAAUGGAAUGUGCUGAUCUAGCAGGAUAGAGAGGCCCCAGGAAGAGAGAGAAGGGACAGGACUGGGGAGGGCCUGGGUGUGGAGAGUGAGAUGGCACAUGAAGGGGGAAUGGGCCCAGCCGAGGAGGCGAGGGCAGGGAGACCCAUAAGGCAGGAAGGGUCUGGGUGGCACUACAUAUCAGGAUUUCUGUGCAGGAUGACCGGCUGAGCCCCAGGUCCAGGAAGCCUAGGAGGGUCAGAGGGAGGAGGCCGGUACCAGGGUUAAGGUAUACAAGUGAGACCCUGGGGAUCAGCAAAGGCCUGGCGCUCACUCCCAGCCUAGAUUGUUUUUUGGAGGCAGCGUUGAGAUUGAAUGCCCACCUUAUCUUUCCUUCAGCAGCACUGUCAACUUUGUAUUUGUUUGACCCCUGCGGGGGUACAUGGACUCCUGUGUUGGGAAGUAAUGCUAUGUUGGAAUCGGUUACCAGCUGGAGCAGAGCCUCCUAGCUGGGGAGGAGUUGCCAGGUGGAGUGGUAGAGGCAUCUAAGUCAAGGUCAGGCCCAGCAGCAGAGAGGUGUUGCUGGCAUUGGAGCAAGGGGGUGAGCUGGCGGUGGAAUCAUGUCAGGAGGCUUAAUCAAACAGCCCCGAGGAGACUAGAUUGAGUGGCGCUGUGACCUCCCUCCCCUCACCCAACUUCCACGUGGCAAAGUGACCAUUCCGCCACUUCCCACCUUAAGCAUUUCUUCUCUGAGGGCUUCCCUGACCUGCCGUCACCCCUGCCCAAAUGUCAGCCUCCUUCCUUUUUACCAUCUUGCUCCCUCCUCCCCGCCAGCACCUGCCUCCAUUGAAGCAGUUAUCUCCAGAAUGGUAACUUCCCUUUACAUAGACUGUGCACAGUUUCCGUGCAGCUCUCAUAGUUUUUGUCCUUAUACCCCCAGCACAGUCCCCAGCGUAUGUUAGGUCCUUGGUAGGUGUUCGUUGAGUGCGUGAGGGAGGGAGGGAGUCCUGCACAUGCACACUGUAUUAGUGACUACCUGCCUAAAUGCCUUCCCCUCUGAGCAGCUUCAGGGCAGGGACAGGGUCUGAUUCAUUUCUUUUUCCAGCUCAGGGCCUGGCAUAUAAAGUGUGGUGUGCAGUAGAAUUUUGUUGAAUGAAUUUAUGCAAAACUGGCUUUGCUUCAGUUUCGCUGAUGAAGUCCUCCAGAGUUGAACUGGCCCAGCUUCUUCCCAUAUCAGGCCCAAUCUAGAGUCCUGCUGCGUUUAUUACGUAACAGCUGACUCUGGCAGAGACAGCAGGAGCAUGAAUUGUCACUGCCUUUUUGGUUUGAUGUCUACUGGUGUGAAACUGUGCACCUCAAAAUAAUUUCGGAUAAGCCAGACUCGUAACAGGAGUACAAGAAAUGUCUAUUGAAUGAAAGAAUUAUUCUUUUUUACCGGGCACUUCAAAAUAGUCUUCGUGGGCUUCCCUGGUGGCGCAGUGGUUGAGAGUCCGCCUGCCGAUGCAGGAGACACG